CUUCUUAUUUCUGUUGAUAAAGCAUUGUUAGCGUAUAUGGUUCAGUAUUUAUUUACAUUUGAAAAUAUGGAUUUUCAUGAAUGUAAUAAACUGGUUUGUGAAUUCUGUAAAGUAAAAGGUUUUCUACCCCUCGUGGUAGCGUUUUUAAAAGAAUAAAGGUUUCUGUGCAGGAAACAGUUUUCAAAAGAUUUUUGUGGAAUUCUGUUUAAACCUUGAAUGUAAAACUGUGAUGUGAAUGGUGAAUGUAUGAAUGUAUAGUUAUCUUUAUAUUCAUUUGGUUGUGGUUGUAUGUAUAUCUAUACUCUGUUGUACUUGUGCGACGCCGUGCAAAUACAGGGGAGACUCUGUCCGUGUGAACAGUGGAUUCCCUGUGUUUGUGGCGGAUCUGGCACUCUGGGGUCAGGUUUUCAAAAAAAAAAAUUUUAUAGCUAAUUUUCCGCUGUGCUUUUGAACAAAAAGGGACCCCGGGGCGUGACAGAUUAAAGUGGUAUCAGAGAAGGGUUACAACCACAACACCAUUCACAGAUUGUUUUGAAAAGUAAAUGAACUGAACCAUUGGUUAGGUUGACCCUUAGAAAGACCUACGGUGUAUAGGCACGUGAGUGCGGGGUUUGGACUUGUGUCCAGGAUUGCAUUCGAGUCGGGUAAACUCGAAGUGCAUGGUUUCUGUAUGUGUUACGAUUCGCACAAGCUGGUGUCUAAGUCGGGAGUAGUGGCGGUGUACUUAUUCGGACAUCGUGUGGUAGAGCGACGUUCCCCAGGUGUUGCCACUCCUGUCAGUUGAGGCCUAGAAGGGCCAAGUGAGAUUUUCGGGCCUAGGCGAGUGUUAUGACUGCCGACGCCCCGGCCACUCUCUCUACUUAGGACACGAGAGCUACUGCGAAUGUCUCUACGGAGACGGUGCUUAGACCAGUCACGGUCGCGACUUCAGUGGUGCUACUAGGGUGUAGCCUAGGGUUUGGAUAGCGGUCGUUUCAGCGACUGCAUUGUUAGCGUUGCUUCUACAGACCUUUGGGUAGGGUUGCGAUGCCUACCUCUCCUUCUUGAUUGCUGAAUGGAAUCAGCGGUUCGAAUCUUUCGACCUUUACCUCGUUCAUUCUUCCUACUAGAGUCGGAUUGACACAGUUUGGUGUCAAGUUUUCGUUGAGGCAUACAUCGUAUGCGGUUAUUCUAACACCUAAAUUGGUGUUGUGGGUUAGUUGUAGUUGGUGAUAGGCCUCGUCUAGAUUCGAGAUAUUUCAUGGUCGUUAUGAUUUCGAAUGUCGACUUGUAAAGUCGAUGUUUCGACAGUAGUGGUUGUGAGCUCUUGGUUUAGUGAAGAGGUAUCAAAUGGCUUGAUACUUCGACGUGUUACACUUCCAACUCGUUGUUGGUAGUGGAUCUUCGGAUAUUUUGCUUUUCUUUUGAUAAGUAUAUUGGCUGCAGACAAUAUACUGUCGAAAGAGGGACGAAAUACCUUUUUUCCUGUUUGGGACUUCUGGAUUGGGUCGACGUGUUUUCUAGACUGUUUUGUGGGAAAAGCUCGAGUGAUAGUCAUCUCUGACCACGUAGCGAGCCUUGGGUUAUUCCUUAGCAGGUUUUGCACAGUGGACUUAUCGUCACUGAUAAAGGGGUUUUUGACUCUAGUUCGAGUCUGGGUGUUCGUAACUCUUUAGUUGUGCUUUCCACAGUUCAAAAGUUUGUUUGGUUAGUAGUCUUGGUUUGUCGUCUUGAGGUUCAGAAUCAGUGGAUGAGUGACUUGAGCCUGGUUGUUGGCUUUGAUUGUCACCAUAUGUGAUAGCGUACAAGGUUUGCGACUUGACUUCUCGUGCAAACCUUGGGUUAGCAUGCUUGUCCGGUCAUUUGAUGACAGGUGCGCCUGGGUCUCAAUGAGACAAGUAAUCGGGUGUUGCUGGGAACAUCGAUCGCUAGGGUCCAUGGCAGGACGACAGCGACAGGGUCUUGUAGAGACAGGUGUUGAGCAUCACCGAUGGUUAGUAUCGCUUUUGCGAUUGGCGACCUGUGCAUCAAGCGAUGGACUUGCAAAGAGCUUUCGGUGGUCUGUGGUAUCGGAUUAAGUUUGAGGAGACAAAAUUGUCUAGCGUAUUUGGUAUUGUCAGUUGGACCUUUUUGGUCAGGUAAAAAGUGAGGUCUUGGACCUAGGACUAUAGAUUGCCGUAAGUGACUAUCCACUGAUGGAGGUUUUGGCAGUUUGUGUGGUUACUGUUGGGAGACUGUGGUCUCCAAGGUGAGAGUUUUGACUCAGGUCUUAGAACAACGUUUCGUAUUCGCUCAUGGUGAGCAGGUUGACGUUGUUGGAUAGUCGGAGUUUUUCGUUUCAAGUCUACGUAAAUAGACUCUAGAUUAAAGUGGUGUUGACUUGAGUCUCUUCUACGUGAACCUUCGACGUAGUUGAGUCGGUUACUGGUGUGCGGACCAAGGUUGAGUAGACCUAGAAUUUCUAAGUGUUGAAAUGUUAUCUCAGAAACGGCAAAUUGGGAUCGAACAAUCCUAGUCGCGGGACUGUCUUUGUCCGCAGGUUAUAGGAUGAUAUUAAUACCGGUGAGCUUUGGUCCGUGGAUUUUGGGUUGGUACAUUUUCCCUCGAUUUGUCCAGGUGGAACCGCAGUCUUAUUUUUCCCCUUAUUCGAAGAUUGAUCUGUCCGCAUUCAUGAAAAUAUAAUUGACCAAUACUCAAGGGUGAUACCACAGUGGUGGAAGUAUUAUUCGAAUUCGAUUUCGGUGGGUAUGUGGUCAAGUUUCGGGGACGAAACUUCUUUUAAGGGGGGGAUAAUGUAAGGACUGAGAUUUUUACAGUGCAACUAAACUCUCUGUUGACAAUGUUUAUGUGUGUAAUUUAAUUACAUAAGCACUCGUCAAGUUUCAGGAGAAAAUGAGCUAAGGUGGAGAAGUUAUGAGACCCGGAAGUUUGACUUAAGUGAAUAGUAACUCCGGUUUUCCGGAGAAGCCACGAAGCAAACUCGGCCUCUGGCGCGUACAGACCUCCAAACAUAGGACUCCAAUAGCUCGUUUCGAACCUCUCGACUAUACUGGAACCACUGGCGCUGACAGAAUCGGAUUCUGAUGCACGGUUAUCGAGAAAAAGGAGUUUUAUCAAAAAGAGGGUUUUUGUUCUGUGCUAUUCGUGCAGUUUAAAGCUCCUCGUACUCUGUGCAUGUGACCUAGAGUUGAGUGGAGGACGUUUCUAGUACCUACUGGUGGUAGGAAGCCCAAAUUUGAAUUUGAAUUAAAGGUUUAGCGAGAUUACACAUUGGUAUAUGUUUGUGGUUUCUGAAAAUUGAGAGCGGACGGAUUUCGUCGUGAAUCGGGGGUCAAAUCGGAUGAAACGAAAUGCUAGAUUCGAUGCCCCCGACGUGCUGAACGCAAUGGUACUGUCGGAUCGAAAAUCCGACUGACGGAUCUCCGGAAAUUACGAGAAGUUCGCUGAGAGGUCGGCGAUGGCAAAACGGUAAUUUCGCAAAAGUCGCGAUAUUUUAUGUACCGUUUCGCGUGGAAUCGCACGUGGAGGGGUGUUCGCGUGUUUUACACGCGCUGUGAAGGACUUAGUAAUAAAUACUGAGGUUUGGUGGACUUAGUUGCAAAGUUGCACCUUAGUAUUUAUGGUAUCUAGGGUUUUCUAGCAUGAAACCCUAACCCUAGACCUAAGCCGCCCCCUAGCCACCUUCCCUUGUCACCCUGACCUGGCCGCGCACCUCCCGGCCGCCGCCGACCGUGCUCCGGCCGGCCACCGCCGCGGCAGCCACCUUUCUUCUUCACCUAUUCUCCAUCUCCCUCUCCAAACCUCUCUUUCUCUCGGGUUAGAGCCAGACCGAGGCUACUUUUCCAUCAAGACACCUUGCCGGCGUCGCCCCGUGUCUCGGCCACCUCCCGCCGACGCGAUCGCCGCCGCCCCGCCAGCCGCCAUCGCCGCCGCGCUGCUGCUUGCUGCCUCCCAGACCGAGCCCAGCCGAGCUGAGUGUGCGGCUUCAUCCUCAUCAGCAGCCGCCUGGGACUACUCCCGCGCCUUCCCCGGAAUCCCGGCAUCCCUCCCCGCCGGCCGCCGCCGCUCUGCGGUAGCGCCGCCGCCGCACGCCAUGGGCGCCGCGCCCAGGCCUGCAGACCGAGCCCAGCUCGAGCGGCAACGCCCGAGCCGCGGGCUGUCGCCGCCGUCACCCGCCGCCUCCUCCUCCCCCUCCGGCUCAGGGGACCCGCCGCCGACGUCCCGACCUCCUCCGGUCGCGCGCGUGGCUGCCGCUGCCUUUGGAGCCGCGAGGUGAACCGCGCGGGCUCGGGAUGCUCCAGCGCCGCCGCGGCCGCCUCUCGCCGCCGGCCGGCGUGAGCACCGGCUCCGCCUGGCCGGCCGCACCCGUCACCCGCCGGAGACACCGCCGCCAGGAGCUCGCCGCCGGAAUGGACCGUGCUCCCCACGGGUUUGGUGGCUAGGGCAUCAUUGACUUCGUCGCCGCCUCCUUCCGUCGCCUGCUGACGCAGCCCCGCCACCUCGGACCUUCCGCACCAACCCUGGCCGGCUUGCCGCCGUCCGCCGCCGCCGGCCACCCCGUGCCCUGCUAGCUCGCGUAAGCUUAGUUUAGCUUUCCUGCACUGUGAUUGCACUUUCCGGUCACCUUUUCGGUGAUCCGACGACUCCCCGACACCCCAGGAGGUGAGCACGGUGAUCCUGGGUUCGUGCCGAACACGAUGCUCACCUCUGCGAGGAUUAGGGAUGCCCGGUUAGCAGGUUUAGGUAGAUCUUCGCGCUGUGCGCGCUUAUUCGCUGAACUUCGCGCCGCUCGUGCGCUCCUACAGUAGCCGGAAUUGCUCCGAAAGGUGAGCGAGCCUCCAGCACAUCGAAACCUGUAAGUAGGUGUCUUAGCUCGACGAUUGACCUCUGUUUUGCAUAGACGGACCAUAAAAGCCGGAAAAACACAUGAAAUAAUGUGAUUUCUUGGAAUCGGAUGGCUUUUAUGCAAUUUGACUUGUCGUGGCUGCUGUUGCAGCAUGGGUGAGCUGUGGGUGACCUCUGGACUGAUUGUCCAAGGCCCAGACCUUUGAGAAGAUCGGAAAUGUAUUUUCGGUGCGUUGUCGGCAAAAUCCGCCGACGGAACGCGUUUUGGUUCGGAAUUAUUCCGACAGUGCUUCGUGAGCUAUUGUGUAGUCGCUGAGCCUUGUUGGCUGGUCACCAUCAUCACAUUGUGGGUUCGGUGAUGAUGGUGAGCGACGGUGGGUUCCGGUGUCGAAAUAGACACUUCCGGGAACCGGAUUCGUACAACUAUCCGGUGAUAGUUGUGUAGUGUUGUGAUCUUGUGUUUACUGCAAAACAUCCAAAUUGGAGUGUUUUGGGGCAGCAGGUGACUCGUGACAUGAGUCGGUGAGUUUCGGGACACUUAGUGGGUCCCGACGGCGUCCCGGUGUGGUUUUCGGACUUCCGGCGAGUUACGAUAAUCGGUAUUGGGAAACCGAUCUCCGUGGGAUAGUUGUGGGUUAUGCUUUUAGGUUUCUUAGUUGUGGGUUAGACACUAACCCAGUGGACCCUCCUUAGGUCCGGUUGACGUUCUUUUGCAGUCAGGAGACAGACGCGACAGUUGUACAGGUGGUACUUCGAUCCGACGUCGGUACAGUGGUGCACGCUCGGUGAUAUCUUUCAUCCCUGUUCUCCUGUUAUUACUAUUGCUUAGUGUAGCUUAUUGAGCCUUGCACCUCUAUCGUCUACAUCUUACUCUACUCGUUGUUUGCAUGAUUAGUAUCCUGUGUAGGAGUAGAGUAGUUAUACCAUAUUUUCUUGUUGCUUCUACUUGCCUGUUCUUCAUAUCUUAUAUCAUGUUAUAGUAGAGCGGUUCCGUGACCAUCUGUGAAAUUAAUGACCUAGUCGGUUCGAUUCUAGUAUCUGUAAUCGUGAUCUACUCGAUCGGUUCCUUGAUUCCUGUUGUUCGAUGACCCUUGAGGUCGGUAUACCCUGAGAGGUGGGAUGGUCGGCUAGUUGUCGACGGAUGAUUAUAGUCUUACAGAUCCGUCAUUUGACCCUUGUGACCUAGUCUGUCCGUUCUGGAUUCUUGUCGUUUGAUGACCUUUGAGGUCGUGUACCUGCGGGGUAGAUUGUCGGCUAGUGGCCGACGUAGUUCUAUAUUAUAUACUCAGUUGACUUAUUGAUCAGUAUCUUCAUACUUUUGGUAGGAUGUUGAGUUGUUCCAUCCAGUGACUUGAUUAGUCAUACUUGCAUACAGUUGAAGGAUGUAGAGUCGUUCCAUCCUAUUUGACCUGAGUGGUCGGUUCUUGUGCUUCUUUACAGUCGAUGACCUAUACGGUCGGUGAGCCCUGUGGGCAGAUUGUCGGCUGGUUCGCGAUGUUAGUCUUUGAGCAUAUCAGCAUCGAUUGCCCGACUCAUUAGCAUUUCACGACACUGGCGUCUGAUCCACCGCAAGGUGGUUUCUUUCGGAAAAGUUUGCUUGUGUCGACCCGUGAGCCCAGCGGUCAGGACUGGGUUAUAUGCGGUAGAGUGUUAGUGGGCUUUUGCCUGAGGUCCUUAACGCGACACGGCGGUUUAGAUUGGUAUUUUGGACUUCUUGUUCGGUUGACGCAUACGUCUAUAGUAGCAGUUGUUUCAUGCAUACUUACAGUUCUUUCUUUAUACUUGUCUUGCUACUAUAGUUUGAUACCCAGGUAUGGUUUAUAUUCUUCUUUACAGUAGCGGUAGUCGUUCUUAUACAUUCUGUUCAUAUAUCAUUGUUGCUACUGUACUUAGUAUAUCUGUUCCAUUACCUUGUACAUAUCUUUCGUUUACUAUUGUUCCUACUGUACCCCACUGACGUCGUUUUGUUGUAUGUUCUUCCUGAUCCGUGUGAGUACUCCUCGCCUUCUUGCGCUUGCGGUACCCACUGGAGGGGAGACUGUUUACAUGUUCUCACCUCCCCACCAUUUUCAGGUAUCGCGGGCGGUGUGGGUUGAGACGAGACGUGAGACACGUACGUAGCGAUCGAUAGAUCUUCCGACCCAGGUUGUUCGGUUUAGCUCUUACCCUUCUUAUUUCUGUUGAUAAGCAUUGUUAGCGUAUAUGGUUCAGUAUUUAUUACAUUUGAAAAUAUGGAUUUUCAUGAAUGUAAUAAACUGGUUUGUGAAUUCUGUAAAGUAAAAGGUUUCUACCCUCGUGGUAGCGUUUUUAAAAGAAUAAAGGUUUCUGUCGCAGGAAACAGUUUUCAAAAGAUUUUGUGGAAUUCUGUUUAAACCUUGAAUGUAAAACUGUGAU
rnacentral:lncRNA from 1 species